UACAGAGGGUGCAAGCGUUGUUCGGAAUUAUUGGGCGUAAAGGGAGUGUAGGCGGCUUGUUAAGUCUUCUGUGAAAUCUACGGGCUUAGCCUGUAACGUGCAGAGGAAACUGGCGAGCUAGAGUGUCGGAGAGGAUAGGGGAAUACCCGGUGUAGAGGUGAAAUUCGUAGAGAUCGGGUGGAACACCAGUGGCGAAGGCGCCUGUCUGGCUGACAACUGACGCUGAGACGCGAAAGCAUGGGGAGCAAACAGG
rnacentral:rRNA from 1 species